UACGUAGGGGGCAAGCGUUGUCCGGAAUCAUUGGGCGUAAAGCGCGUGUAGGCGGCUUCGAAAGUCUGGUGUGAAAUCUUGGGGCUCAACCCUAAGCGGUCACUGGAUACUUCGAGGCUUGAGUCCGGAAGAGGAGAGUGGAAUUCCUGGUGUAGCGGUGGAAUGCGCAGAUAUCAGGAGGAACACCAUUGCGAAGGCAGCUCGCUGGGACGUUACUGACGCUGGAGACGCGAAGCGUGGGGAGCAAACAGG
rnacentral:rRNA from 1 species